AUACGUAGGUGGCAAGCGUUGUCCGGAAUUAUUGGGCGUAAAGCGCGCGCAGGUGGUUCCUUAAGUCUGAUGUGAAAGCCCCCGGCUCAACCGGGGAGGGUCAUUGGAAACUGGGGAACUUGAGUGCAGAAGAGGAUAGUGGAAUUCCAAGUGUAGCGGUGAAAUGCGUAGAGAUUUGGAGGAACACCAGUGGCGAAGGCGACUGUCUGGUCUGUAACUGACACUGAGGCGCGAAAGCGUGGGGAGCAAACAGGAUUAGAUGCCCUGGUAGUCCACGCUGUAAACGAUGAGUGCUAAGUGUUGGGGGGUUUCCGCCCCUCAGUGCUGCAGCUAACGCAUUAAGCACUCCGCCUGGGGAGUACGGUCGCAAGACUGAAACUCAAAUGAAUUGACGGGG
rnacentral:rRNA from 1 species